rnacentral:rRNA from 1 species
AUUGAACGCUGGCGGCAGGCUUAACACAUGCAAGUCGAGCGAGCGGCGGACGGGUGAGUAAUGUCUGGGAACCUGCCUGAUGGAGGGGGAUAACUCCUGGAAACGGUAGCUAAUACCGCAUACCAUCAGAUGUGCCCAGAUGGGAUUAGCUAGUUGGUGGGGUAAUGGGUCACCUAGGCGACGAUCCCUAGCUGGUCUGAGAGAAUGACAAGCAAAACGGGAACUUAGACACGGGCCAGACGCCGACGGGAGGCAGCAGUGGGGAAUAGUGCACAAUGGGCGAAAGCCUGAUGCAGCCAUGCCGCGUGUGUGAAGAAGGCCUUCGGGUUGUAAAGCACUUUCAGCGAGGAGGCGUUACUCGAAGAAGAAGCACCGGCUAACUACGUGCCAGCAGCCGCGGUAAUAC